UACAGAGGGGGCAAGCGUUAUUCGGAAUUAUUGGGCGUAAAGGGCGCGUAGGCGGCCUGACAAGUGGAAGGUGAAAUCCCUCGGCUUAACCGAGGAACUGCCCUCCAAACUGUUUGGCUUGAGACCGGGAGAGGUGAGUGGAAUUCCCAGUGUAGCGGUGAAAUGCGUAGAUAUCUGGAGGAACACCGGUGGCGAAGGCGACAUCCUGGACCGGUAUUGACGCUGAGGCGCGAAAGCCAGGGGAGCAAACGGG
rnacentral:rRNA from 1 species